rnacentral:misc_RNA from 1 species
CCGAAUCGUCAACAAGGGUUGUUGCUGGCCCCUGUAUGGGGGCACGUGCACGCUCUGUUUACACAUCCACUCACACCUGUGCACCCUCUGUAGUUCUAUGGCCUGGGGGCCCUGUCCUCCUGCUGUGGUUCUACGUCUUUACACACACACCAAAAUAAAGUCUAAUGGAAUGUAUGUCGCGUUUAACGCAAUGAAAUA